rnacentral:rRNA from 1 species
GAUGAACGCUGGCGGCGUGCUUAACACAUGCAAGUCGAACGGUGAACACGGAGCUUGCUCUGUGGGAUCAGUGGCGAACGGGUGAGUAACACGUGAGCAACCUGCCCCUGACUCUGGGAUAAGCGCUGGAAACGGCGUCUAAUACUGGAUAUGUGACGUGACCGCAUGGUCUGCGUUUGGAAAGAUUUUUCGGUUGGGGAUGGGCUCGCGGCCUAUCAGCUUGUUGGUGAGGUAAUGGCUCACCAAGGCGUCGACGGGUAGCCGGCCUGAGAGGGUGACCGGCCACACUGGGAUUGAGACACGGCCCAGACUCCUACGGGAGGCAGCAGUGGGGAAUAUUGCACAAUGGGCGAAAGCCUGAUGCAGCAACGCCGCGUGAGGGAGGACGGCCUUCGGGUUGUAAACCUUUUUUAGCAGGGAAGAAGCGAAAGUGACGGUACCUGCAGAAAAAGCGCCGGCUAACUACGU